rnacentral:rRNA from 1 species
CCUACGGGUGGCAGCAGUGAGGAAUAUUGGUCAAUGGACGAGAGUCUGAACCAGCCAAGUAGCGUGAAGGAUGACUGCUCUAUGGGUUGUAAACUUCUUUUAUAUGGGAAUAAAAUGUUCCACGUGUGGGAUUUUGUAUGUACCAUAUGAAUAAGGAUCGGCUAACUCCGUGACAGCAGCCGCGGUAAUACGGAGGAUCCGAGCGUUAUCCGGAUUUAUUGGGUUUAAAGGGAGCGUAGGUGGUUUGUUAAGUCAGUUGUGAAAGUUUGGGGCUCAACCGUAAAAUUGCAGUUGAAACUGGCAGACUUGAGUACAGUAGAGGUGGGCGGAAUUCGUGGUGUAGCGGUGAAAUGCGUAGAUAUCGCGAAGAACUCUGAUUGCGAAGGCAGGUCACUGGACAGCAACUGACACUGAGGCACGAAGGUGUGGGUAUCAAACAGGAUUAGAUACCCCAGUAGUC